CCUGGAAGCUGAGACACUCUUUUGGAGAUCCGCAACACUCCCUGCACACCACACCAGCAAACCAAAGCGCGAGGGGCAAGAUGUGCCUCAGGGCCCCUGCAUGUCAGUUUACCUGAGUCAGACAGGAGCACCUCCCUGUCUCUGGAAUCUCGUUGGGGCAGGGAGGCUGUCAGGACGCGAGAAGAGGCGAGGUGCAUCCCUGGCGUGGGAGCUGAUGAGGUAGAUGCAAAGAGCUCCUCUCUCAGCAGCUGGUCUCCUGGAAACCCUGAACACGGUCCUCUCCACAUAGCCAGAACUGCCCUGAGGAGACCAUGAUGAACACGUGCAGUAAAGAAGAGUGCCUGGUGUCAGUCGGUGCUCAGCACAGGAUUGUUGCAUGAAUGAAGGAAUGAUGGAGUGAGUUCCACGUUUGUCAGCAAGUGUGAGGCUCUGCCGGCGUAGAAAGGAUGAUGCGACGUGCCCGACCUUCUGGAACGCAGGCCGGUGCGGGGGCCGGCUGGUCAACAGGCGGUUGCAAUGGAGUUUCAUUAGAGGAAACUGAGGCUCGGAGAGAGAAAAGCAUCUUUUCCCAAAGUCACAUGACUGGUAACAGGAACCCGAGGCUGCUUAUUCCACAGCUCCUGCUCCUGCACAAGUGUCUCCCGGAGAGGCUGGGAUCUGUCCCCGCCUCCGGAGGGGUCCUGGGAUCUUGAUUUUUUAAAAAAAGUCUCUUGGGCACUUGCCAUGGCCAGCCAGGAUUGGAAACUUCCGCCCUCCACCCCAUGGCUUUCCUGAAGGCCUUAGUGGGGCAAAUGGAGCAAAGAGAGAGAGUAGGUACCCAUGUUUGGAACAUUACCUUAGCAAGACUUACAGACUCUCAACUGGAAAAGAAACUAAGCGGUGUUAACUGGCUUUCUGGCUCUGCUUGGGAGGAGUCACUGAACUUCUCUGAGCCUCAGUUUCUUUGUCUGUAAAAUGGGGAUCCAAAUACUUACCUUGCAGGACUACUGAAGGGCUUGGGAUAUUGCAGUAAUGACUUAGCUUAAUGCCUGGCUCAACUAACUAUUGAAUAAAUGGUAGCCAUUAACACUA